UCCGGCUUAUCACCGGCAGUUUCCUCAGAGUUCCCAGCUUUACCUGUUGGCAACAGAGGACGAGGGUUGCGCUCGUUGCGGGACUUAACCCAACAUCUCACGACACGAGCUGACGACAGCCAUGCAGCACCUGUGCAUCUCCCACCCGAAGUGAAGGACCCCAUCUCUGGAGCCCAUAGAGAGCAUGUCAAGGCCUGGUAAGGUUCUUCGCGUUGCCUCGAAUUAAACCACAUGUUCCACCGCUUGUGCGGGUCCCCGUCAAUUCCUUUGAGUUUUAAUCUUGCGACCGUACUCCCCAGGCGGGAUGCUUAGCGCGUUAACUACGCCACUGAGAGGCAACCCCCCAACGGCUAGCAUCCAUCGUUUACGGCGUGGACUAC
rnacentral:misc_RNA from 1 species